rnacentral:tRNA from 1 species
CAAAGUGUAACUUAAUAAAAGUGCCUUGCUUACACCAAGGCCAUGUCCGUGAAACCCUGACCACUUUGC